CCUACGGGGGGCUGCAGUGGGGAAUAUUGGACAAUGGGGGCAACCCUGAUCCAGCCGUGCCGCGUGUGUGAAGAAGGCCCUCGGGUUGUAAAGCACUUUCAGUGAGGAAGAACGCCUGGUGGUUAAUACCCAUCAGGAAAGACAUCACUCACAGAAGAAGCACCGGCUAACUCCGUGCCAGCAGCCGCGGUAAUACGGAGGGUGCGAGCGUUAAUCGGAAUUACUGGGCGUAAAGCGCGCGUAGGUGGCUUGAUAAGCCGGUUGUGAAAGCCCCGGGCUCAACCUGGGAACGGCAUCCGGAACUGUCAAGCUAGAGUGCAGGAGAGGAAGGUAGAAUUCCCGGUGUAGCGGUGAAAUGCGUAGAGAUCGGGAGGAAUAACAGUGGCGAAGGCGGCCUUCUGGACUGACACUGACACUGAGGUGCGAAAGCGUGGGUAGCAAACAGGAUUAGAUACCCCUGUAGUC
rnacentral:rRNA from 1 species